rnacentral:tRNA from 1 species
GGCCUUGUAGCUCAGUUGGCUAGAGCGUUGGCUGUACUUAAUUCUUCCCUUGCUGGUAUGGGUUUGAAUCCUACCAAGGUCG